GUUACUGGUAUGACCUUUCAUUUAGAAUUCUUUAUUAAUAAAAGAGUUUUUCUCUGAAUCUUAAAAAUCAAACAAACAAGUUUGAAAACUUUUACACUAAACUAAAGGUUUUAUUCAUGUUCAAACAUCAACAGAAAUGAUCCAUCAGGGAUCGUUUGUCCCACAGGUUCCUGCUCGAUCACGAAUCCUCAGCAGCUCAGCUGGACGUCCCGCAGGAACCUGCCCCCCCCAGGACUGAACGGGGGCUUUUCACAAAUAACAGUUUGAGAGAAAAACCUUUAAAAAUGAAGAAUAUUUUAACAGGGAAGGUAAGUCUGAUGGACCUUUUUUAUUUGAUAAAACAUCUUCUAGUUUUUAAAAUCUUCAAAUUACAGCUAAAUCACAUUUAAGAGGAACUGAAAUGCAAAUGAAAGCUUUUGUGAUGCAUGUUUUCCAGAACAUAAAUACAAAGCAGGGGAGGGGGGGGUUCCUGCUGCCCGUCCUUCUGGCGGGUGACUAAUAAGGAGGAGUCUUGGCGCCGGCGGGCGUUUCCCUGCAGCUCCCUCUCCGUCUCUGGACGCCGCGUUACUUCCUCAGCAGAGCUGCUGGCAGGAGCGUCACCUGAGCAGAUCAUGAAGCCUCAGGAGGUCCACCUCGUCCAGGAGAUCUCAAAGCUGCAGAGCAUGGUCACCGAGCUGAGGGUGGGCUUCAGCGGCGCCCUGCUGGAGCUGGGUCACAUCCAGCACGGAGACCUGUACCUGAAGGAGGGGGAGGCUGGAGGAGAAGCCGCAGAGCUGCCGGAAGAAAGCCCUGCGGCUGGAGGCGCUGGUGGAGUCGCUGAGGGUGAGAGUCUCCGCCCCCCCCGGACGGCGCUUGUCCAGAGUGUCAGGCCGGGGAGGAGUGGUGAGGCGGUCUUAAAAGACAGGUGUGUCGACCUUCCAGGAGGAGCUGGAGGCGAUGAGGAGGCAGGUGCUGCAGCAGGACGGAGGGACCGGCAAACAGAGCGGCGACCCGCCAGGUGAACCGCGCUCAGGUGAACCGCGCUCAGGUGAACCGCGCUCAGGUGUGGCCCGCCCCUCCAGAGGGAAACUGCUCCUCCACUGUUUCCUGCAGGGCCUGAAAGCCGGGCUGAGCGAGGGCACAGACGCGCGCCACCAGGUGGCGAUGCAGCUGCUGCACUCGGAGUGGGAGUACGUGUCGACUCUGAACCAGCUGUACGACCGGUACCGGACCCCUCCGGCCCAUCAGCUGACGGUGGAGCCAAAUCAGACGCACGUGAAGUUCGUGGAGCAGCUUCUGCAGCGACACCUCCUCUUCAGGAACACCCUGCAGGAGCGUCUCUCCACCCAACACUGGAAGUCUCUGGUUGGAGACAUCCUGGUGCAGCUCAUCGGUCAGAACGAUACAGCGUUUUCAGACACCUACCUGGGCUACACCUCCACGCUGGCCUCCUUCCUGUCCCUGGAGUUCAGCAGCUUGACCCACGUGGAGAAACGUGCGACAGUGCAGACGGAGGAGGAGGAGCUAAAGCUGCUGUCGCUGCUGCUGGCGCCGGUCACUCGAAUACACAGUUACCUGAGUCACAUCCAGAACCUGCUGCAGUGGACCGGCAAAGAGCAUCCGGACUGCAGCCUCCUGCUGGGCUCGGAGCGUGCGCUCAGGAGCACUUUGUCCCGCUGUCAUGUGAUCCUGGAGGAAGAGGUUCGGUGGGGGGAGGAAGAGGAGGCGGGACAGAGCUCCUGCGAUGCUGCCGUCGCAUCUUCUGCAAACUGUUGUCACAGAGCUCAGGUGACCAGAGACGAGCCGAGCGCUGCCGCUCACAGAGACGGUAAGUCCAGCGGCGGCGACGGCUGCCUCUCCAUGCGUCUGGAGUGCUGGUCCUGCAGCCCGGUGCGCAGGAAAGGCUGCAGGGGGGAGGAGGAGGCGGGGCUGGCGCCUCGCCGCUGCGCUCACGCCUGCUGCACGUAUGCAUGCGGCGCUCAGCUCACGCCUGACCCCGCUGGCUGGGGGGAGAACAGCGACUCGGGUCAGGGCACCUUCAGCCAGCGCACCGCCAGAGGCACCACCGAGCUGGAGGCAUCCCGGACAAACCCCAGCCUGGAGGACGGAGAGACCGACCCCGAGGACACCUCCGCCUUCGACUACUCCUCCGUCACCUCCUGCAGCCCCGACGGCACUCUGCGCAGGGAGGUGGAGGAGAGCAACAGCGGGGAGUACGAGGAGGAGGACAGCCAGGUGCCGGUGCUGCUGAGGCCCUCCGGCUGCCCGCCGCCGGCCAAGGAGGCGGCGAGAGAGAAGACGGUCUGCCUGAGAUGGCAGAUCCCCCGACAGACCCCCCCCCCCCCCCUCAGGAACCCCACAGGGCCGUCUCUGGACGGGCCGGCGCCGUGCCUCCUCAGCACCUUCGGGAAGAGGUUGGUCAGCGUCCGGAGAGGGUCGCCGCCUCUGCACCCGAAAAGUGCCUUCAGGCCCAUCUGGGAUGAUCCCACCAAGCAGACGGACUCUGCUCCGGAGAAGGACAGCCGGCCGGGCUUUGUCCCGGUCCAAACUCCAGGCAGACAGAACUUCUACGGUUUCGGUUCCAGCAGGGACGACCUGAGGGCGGUUCUGGCCCACCAGCGAGGCGGCGGCGGCGGCCCGUGGGACAGCGAGGACAGCGAGGAUCCCUGCAGCACCGUUUGAACCGUUCUCCCCUCAGAGGCAUGAUGGGAAAUUUCACCUGGACCUUUGAACGGAUGGAACUGCAUGUUAUACAGCAAACAGCCAGUAGGGGGAGCCGUCUGAACCCAGAGCGACUGUAAAUCGAAGUCCAGAUGAACUUGUUCUUUGACCCGCCGUCACAGGUUCAAUUCCUGAACAUCUUCUCCAUUUAAUCCAUUUAUGGAAAAAAUGUAGUUUAGCCCUGAAGAGUCCAACCACUGUUCUAUUCUGGGAUUUAAAAUCUGACUUUUUUGUUCAUUUUGGGUGACAGCAGACAAGAAAUAAUAUAUAAAAUGAAUAAAUUUAUAAUAGAGGCCAAAUUCGGUUCUUCAGGGGUAAAAAAAACUUUUAAAUAACAAAACAUCUGUUUUUAUUCAACUUUGUUUAAAGGUUUCUCAAUGUCUUUCAUAAAUAAAACUUUAGUUCUCUGUUAGAAAAUUUCAUUUUAAUUUAAGAAGUUAAAUAAUUUCCAUGAAGUGAAGUUUGAACAAAAAAUAACUUUUGUAUUUAUUGAUUUUUUUUUUUUUUUAGGGAUUUCAAAAAUAAAGGUAAAUAGUCCAACAGAAGCUGUUUUAGGACAAAAAAGGCUUAAUUGAUUUCAUUCAAAUUCUCUGAGACGGUUUAAUCUGUCACAAGAAUAUUGUAAAAAAUUUAAUCCAUAAUUUGUUGAGUAAAACAAUAUGAUACAUAUGACUAUAUAAGGCUUGUGGGCGUGGUUAACAAAACCAAGGAAAUCCACAAACAUAGUUUUUAUAGUUUUUUUUCUUUGAACUUGUCCAGAGAGAGAGAGAAUCAUUAAGCAACAAGGUGCUGGGUUAUGGUAAAUGUUAGUCCAAAGGGGCGGGGCCUGUCCUCACACAUCCUCAAGUGUUACAAACAUACCUGUUGGCUCCAAAACUUUUCACAAUCAUCCACAAGGUAUAGCAGACAGAGGGAAUACACCCGUCAGGGACCCCAACCAGGACCAGCCACACCGCCACAGGGGCCCCAGGGCAGGAGAGCAGGGAGGCACAGAGAGUGCAAGUUUCAGUCCAGGCAGGAAGAUAGUCCCCACUGCGCCAGGGGGCCCAGCAUGGGGCCCACCCCCAAAGAGCAACAGCCCACCACCACCUGGGAGACCUCGGCAUUCCCCAACCCCCCCGACAUGAGCAACGACGCCCCAAAAGAUACCUGCCCUGCGCUCCAGGCAACCCCACAUCCCCAAGAGAGGAAGGAAGACUCCGCCCAGGAGAGGAGGAGGUCCCUAAGGAGCUUUGUAAACAUUGCCGACCAAGCUCACCCACUCCUGGAAUGUUUGAGGGGCCCCGCGCUCGAGGACAAAGACUCGCACCACAGGAACAGGGACACCCCCAGGUUCAGAUGUGAUCUGACCCCUGGGUCACAGUCGAACCCGGGGAUCCCUCUCCCUACGUGGAGAGAGAGAGAGAGAGAGAGGCCUGGGAAACCAGCACCCCAAGGACAUGGCUGCCGUUGCCAAGGGUCUGGUUCCCCCACCAGGGAUGGGGUAGGGGACAGACGAUCAGAGGUCCGACCUUCCUCGUGUACCAUGAGUGAAUGUUGGAGUUUAGAGUGCAGUUAAAAGUGGCAGGAAGGGCACCCACAGUGAAGGUCUAGACACCCUCCCAACCAAGGGGCCCCAACCGUAGAGGGUGCAGUUUUUUUCCUUAAAAAUGGCAUUGAUCUGUUCACCUCAACCCCCACCCUAAACAUAACAUGGUUGCUAUGGAGAUGAGGCCAACACAAAAGGUGCUUUAAAAGCAGCAGAGUUCAUCCUGGACUUGAACCCACAACCACAUCACCCCGGAGGAAAGACGCUUGCGUUCUCAAACACAGAACAGAACAUUAUUUUCAGGUUUAAACUGAGUUUCUGACAGAAAAAACCAAAGAAAAGGUUCAGAAUAAGACUGGGUGAUUUAUUAAUCUCAUCAAGACCGUUAAUACAAAGCAGUUAAAAGGCCACAAACCACGGAACCGGGCGGCCGCUGGACCGGGCCGCUGCAGGAGAACCCCCCCCCCCCAGCACCGACAUGGGACGUUCGGUUCCACCCAAACGUUCGUUUGUCGCUGCCUCCAAACCAGGAGGACGCCGCUGCGUAAUCCAGAGCUGGGGGGAGGAGGCGUGUGUGUGGGGGGGAGGAGUUUGUCUGCCCCGAUGCGUGUUAGAGCGAGUCCAGCGGUUGCCGCAGCAACCGCCGCUUUCAACAGUACAGCCUUAAAGUGCACAAAGUGUUUCUGCCAAAAAAAAAAAAAAAAAAAAGUCCAAAUUCUUCACUUUGCUCCAGAACGGCCGGCGGUCCGUUCCCGUGUAUGAAUGCGCGUCCGUGAGGGAACGGGGAAGGUUUUUGGUGGAACCAAGCGGGGGAACGGGGCGGGGAACGGGGCGGGGAACGGGGCGGGGAACGUGGCGGGGAACGGGGCGGGGAACGGGGCGGGGAACGCGGCGGGGAACGCGGCGGGAACGGGGCGGGGAACGGGCGGGGAACGGGCGGGGAACGGGGCGGGGAAGCGGCGGGGAACGCGGCGGGGAACGGGCGGGGAACGGGGCGGGGAACGGGCGGGAACGGGGCGGGACGCGGGGGGGGGGGCGGGGGGGGGGGGCGGGCGGGGAAACGGGGCGGGAACGGGGCGGGGAACGCGGAGGGGAACGGGGCGGGGAACGCGGCGGGGAACGCGGCGUCUCAACUGCAGAUUGUCUGUGAGUUCAGGGCGACGGUUCGAUUCCUCCGACCGUAGCAGCACCGGACCAUCGACGGGGGGGGGGGGAGGGGGGAGGGUCACUUUAUACAAAAGAUUCCAUUAGUGUAUACAUGUUAUCUAUACACACAGUAUCCACAGACAUGUACAGGUCAAAAGGUCACGGGGUGGAGCUUUGUUCUGAACAUCAGAGGCAACUUUCCUGUUUGAGACUUUAGAAACGAAAAGGCACAUCUGAGCGCGCUCAGACCAGGAGGGGGGGGGGGGGGGGGGGGGGGGGGGGCGGGCGGGGGGGCGGGGAGGGGGGGGGGGGAGGGCGGGGGGGGGGGGGGGGGAAGGGGGGCAGCUUUGGAACUUCCAGUGCAAAGUGAAUACAAACGCAGAAGCAUGGGGGGUGGGGGGGGGGGGUGAAGAGCACAGUGUCCACUGAACGGGUCACGAUCCGGCCACGGCGCCGCACUCGACGUCCGGACUCGAACCCCGCGGCUUGGCCUGAACCCUGAAGUGCAAAAGAGCGCCCGCCCCCCCCGGGUCAGAGGUCAGCUCUGUUUUGAAAGGCAAGGUGUGUGCUUCGGGCCGACUCGACUUGCUACAAGACAGUCACAGUGUACAGCUGGGGGGUGGGGGGGCGUCCUGACCUCCAGCUGGGGGGGCAGAAGGGGAGGGGCGUCCUGACCUCCAGCUGGGGCUCUUAGUGUCACAAAUAAAGCCCCUCCCCCCUGCAUAAAGUAAGACUGCGCCUCAACGUGGGGUCCAGGUCUGAUCAAUGCCACCCCCCCCCCACUCUGGUGAAGGGGGCAGGGAGGAGCUCACCCCCCCUCUGUUAGCUGGCACGAAGGGUUUCUGAUGGGGGCGGAGCUACAAAACACCUGAGGUGUGCUGGGGGCGGGGCCAGCGGCCUCAUUGGCUGCUCUCGGUGUUCUCCACCAAUGACAGGCCUUGCAGGGGGGGCUGCAGCGCCUCCCGCUUGUACGUCUUUGGGGGGGAGCUUGGGGAGCUGCGGGCUGAAGUUGUGUCGGGGCGGGACGGGCGGGGCGGUGAUGGCGGCGGGGCAGAGGCUGUUCUGGCUGGUGCAGCUCCGCCUGGGGAUGCGGGGGGGAGGCGUGCUGGGGGGGGUGUUGGGCGAGCUGGGGGAGGUGCCGAAGUCCCAGUGGUACCGCCCCCCGGGGGAGGGCUGCGGCGGGUUCAAGGGGUAGUUGAUGAAGAUCUCCGGGGGGCGCUGCGGGACCGGAGGGGGCGUGUCCGGGAGGGGGUCUCGCGGGGAGAGGAGGGGGAGGGCUGGGCAGGGGUCCGUCGGGGGAGGGGCCGUUGUAGACCGUCUGCCUCGGCUGGUUCCUGGGAGGAGGGGGGGCAGCCGGGGAGGGAUGGCGGGGGGUGUCGGACGGGAGCUCAGCUGAAACACAAAAGCAAACGCCGACUUCAGAAGAACUUCACGACCCGAUCCGGUUCUGGCUGGACGGGUGGAUGAAUGAAACGAACACCGGAUACAAAACUUUAAUUUAGACCGAUUUACUGAAAUUUAUGUUUAAUUUUUCAAAAAAAAAAAAAGUUAUUGUUUAAAAUUGUUCAUGUGAAUAAAACUUUUAGCAGCAAAACUUAAAAACAAAAACAUGUUUUAAGUAAGAAUGGGUUAAUAAAAUAAAUCUGAAUUGAUCUGAAAAGCUAAAGUCCGCUAGCUUGUUGCUAAUGUUUAAUGGAUUUUCCCUUUAGACGGCUAAUGCUAACCGUCGGUUGACAUAAACGUACAUUACUGACUGAUCGAACAUUUUUAUAUGAACUCUUUUAAAAAAACGUUUUUAAAGUAACUAUUUGUGGUCUAAAACGUACAUUUUUACUCAAUCUUUUCCUCUUCGUGUUGGAAAUAAAGUGUAAUGCUAUAGGAUGAUCACCACCUAGUGGUCAAACUGAAACGUCCUCCAGGAGAAGCAGAACAAUGUUUCCAAUGUUAAUGAUCUGAACAUUUUAUCUUAUGUAACUCUGGAUGAUUUUAACAAUCUCAGUAUUUUAAUGAUACAUUUAACAGUCUGUGAACUGGAUCAGAUUAAUAUAAAUAUAUUAAAACAUAAUAUAUUAUUAAUGUAAUUCUAAAGAAUUGUGUAUAAAUGUGUCAAUAUUUAAUUAAAUCAAAUUGAAUUUAAAGAAUCGAGGAAAUAAAUUCAAUCUAAUCAACCUUUUUCUGUAAACCACUUGUGUCAAAGUCAAGGCCCGGGGGCCAGAUCCGGCCCUCUGGGUAAUUCUAUGGCGGCCUCCAGAUCA
ensembl:lncRNA